rnacentral:rRNA from 1 species
CGAACGGGUGAGUAACGCGUGAGGAACCUGCCUCAAAGAGGGGGACAACAGUUGGAAACGACUGCUAGUACCGCAUAAGCCCACGGCUCGGCAUCGAGCAGAGGGAAAAGGAGCAAUCCGCUUUGAGAUGGCCUCGCGUCCGAUUAGCUAGUUGGUGAGGUAACGGCCCACCAAGGCGACGAUCGGUAGCCGGACUGGGAGGUUGAACGGCCACAUUGGGACUGAGACACGGCCAG